UACAACAAUUGGUAUACGCCGGUCACUGUUCUUCCCCCCAAUUAGUCUGGACAAUUCGUACGAGCUCCAGCUCAAAACGACUUCUCCUCAUCCUUUCUUUUUUUCGCACAACCAGUGUAGGUGUCUCAAUCUCGCGUCUCUCUUCGUCGUUGCUCGAAAUCGGAUGGCUUCCAUUGGAGAUUUGUACCAUUUCCUUAUCCUCAGACUUAUCUUCUCAAAGGAACGUUUGAAUUUUAAAAAAUAUAAAAAUCCCCUCCUUCACUAUUCAUGGGCAACUUCAGAGACACGAAAUUUGGGACUGAAGUAACCUCCAAUAGCUUGGGAUUUUCAGUCUUGGAGUUCAUCAGUUGUGGUGGAAAGCGUUCUCAAACUCGCUGUCUCGCUGCUCCACAAAGAGAAAGCAAAGGAAUUACCAAGAUCACAAAUUUAGAUGUAUAAUAGCCUAAAUAAAAAAGAAUGGCCAUAUCUGCGGUUAUAGAAACAGUCGAGUCUGGGGUUCUAGAAACACUCCUGCGGCACUUAUUCUCUGCAACCAGCGGGAUGAUGUUGGUGGUUCCACCACAGGUGGAGUCGGAGGGUAAUGAUCGUGAAGACAGAGAAAGGCGAGAUGAAAAAGUAGUCGAAAAUAUUAUGAAGACAGCUCAAAUGCAUUUAGUUGUGGCCACCCUAUUAAUGACAGUGACCUUCACAGCUGGUUUCACACUGCCAGGAGGUUUUGAAAGCAAUACUAAUAGCCUUAACACAAAGGGAUGGCAAUUCUAUUAAGGAGAACAGCAUUCCGUGCAUUUGCUGUUUCGAAUGCCAUCGCCUUUGCAUGCUCCUCUGGUGCUGUAUUUGCCUACUUUGCCAUGGCAGCAAAUGCAAUAUCAGCUGUAACGAAGUUAACAGUUAUUAUCCAGAUUUAUAAUAUGGCAAUUGCAUUGCAGAUUUCCGCAAUGGCAGCAGUUGUAGUUGCAUUUGCAACUGGUAUGUAUGUUACUUUAGAACAUUCAGUUGGUCUCGCCGUUACUGUCUGUUCCAUUGGCUGCAUCUCUUUCAUUGUUUUCUGCUUGUCUAUGAUUCUUCUUCCUAAAAAAAGCUAGCAAUGUAUUUGAUAAUCUUCCGAUAAAUUUAUGUUCUAAAGAUGCAACAAUGUGUUUGAUGUUGCAUAUAUUUUCCAGCUAUGAUCAACCUACGUUACAAGUUUUUGCACGAA